UACAGGGGGUGCAAGCGUUGUUCGGAAUUACUGGGCGUAAAGGGCGCGUAGGCGGCCUGUUAAGUCGAACGUGAAAUCCCCAAGCUCAACUUGGGAACUGCGUCCGAUACUGGCAGGCUUGAAUUCGGGAGAGGGAUGUGGAAUUCCAGGUGUAGCAGUGAAAUGCGUAGAUAUCUGGAGGAACACCGGUGGCGAAGGCGGCAUCCUGGACCGAUAUUGACGCUGAUGCGCGAAAGCCAGGGGAGCAAACGGG
rnacentral:rRNA from 1 species